CGUUCCCGGGCCUUGUACACACCGCCCGUCACACCACGAAAGUCGAUUGUACCAGAAGUCGGUGUACCAACUUCGGAGGAAGCCGCCCAAGGUGCGGUCGGUGAUUGGGGUG
rnacentral:rRNA from 1 species